AAGCUCGUAGUUGAAUUUCGGGACCAAUUUGUUGGUCGUGCCUCGGUACGUACUGGUAUUAUUGGUUUCUCCCUUCUGAAGAACCUUGAUGUCAUUAAUUUGGUGUCUUGGGGAAUCAGGACUGUUACUUUGAAAAAAUUAGAGUGUUUAAAGCAGGCAUACGCUUGAAUACAUUAGCAUGGAAUAAUGAAAUAGGACGUUUGAUUCUAUUUUGUUGGUUUCUAGGAUCGACGUAAUGAUUAAUAGGGAUAGUUGGG
rnacentral:rRNA from 2 species